CAAGUUAUUUUUAUACAAUUAAUACUUCAUACUCGUGCAUUGUACUCACAAGUGAUACAAGGUUAUUAAUGGUAAUACUGGAAGCUUGUGAAGUAAUCACUUGUCUGCAAAUCGGACAGUUUUUGCUGUUUUUCAUCCAGAUGCUGCAUGUGAGCUCAUCAUCAAUUUUGCUAUCAUUUGAUGAUCCUCCAGAUGCAACCGUAUUCACUGUCACUACCUGUGGUGGUUGUUCAGAUUGUUUUACAUCUGUAGUGGGCACAAGAGGAGGAUUUGCAGGUGCUUCUAAUUGAUUCACAGCUGUGGCAGUGUUAUCCAAAUUAAUUAUUUCCACAUCACCAUAAUUUACAUCUGAAUUAUUGUAAAUAAUAUAAAAUGUUAUGUGUUAAGAAUAUAAAAUUUUUAAAUACCUGGAUCUCUUUGUAGUUUAAAACCAAAUAAAUAUGUGGAAAAUUC